rnacentral:rRNA from 1 species
AUGUGCGUCCCAAAAGACCAAGGAGGUAUGGGGUUCCGAGUUAUCCACUGUUUUAAUCUGGCAUUGUUAGCCAAACAAGCAUGGCAUCUACUUGAUAAUUCUGGGUCUUUAUAAGCUAGGAUUUUGAGACCUAAAUAUUUUCCGGACGGUGAUUUAAUGAGUGAAAAUCUAAAAAAGGGCCGCUCUUUUACUUGGCAAAGUAUCAUGGCGGGAGUGAACUGUCUGAAAAAUGGUUAUAUCUGGCGAGUUGGAAAUGGACAUAAUAUUGAUAUAUGGAGAGAUGCAUGGAUUCCUAACUGUGUGAAUAGGAAAAUUAUUACUCAUAGAAGGGGACAAAUACUAUCAAAAGUGUGUGAUCUUAUUGACCCAGUCACGAAUUCUUGGGAUGAAGAUUUGGUGAGACAAACGUUAUGGCCAAUUGAUGCUCAAAGGGUAUUAGCAAUUCCACUUCCCAUGGGUAAUAUGCCUGACUUUAUUGCUUGGAGCCAUACAAAAAAUGAUAAGUUCACUGUUCGAUCAGCUUAUUUGGAAGAAUGA